ACUUAGCUCAGAGAAAAACGAGAUUGGCAUCACCAUGCAAUAGUUAAGCGUUUGCAGAGUAUUAUCAGGUGUUCAUUCAUGAAUUUUUUUUUACUAGAGCACAUUGGCAAAUAUAUAACUCUCUUCGCAAACUCCAGAAAGUGGUGGAAAGGGUCAAUAAUAAAUUAUGAUCUCCUUGAAAUCAGCUGCAAUGAGUGAUUUUCAUGAGGGAAAAUGGAUGAACGUGUGACUAAAAAAGUCUUGGUGUUUUCUGGUUGA